GACAAUCCAAACGGUAAAGGAGGCUCGGUCGCCAAGCAAGCGCCGUAUCAAUUAUCGGGCUUUCUAAGUUCCAUAGAAAUUUAGUCUCGAAACAUUUCGCUAAAAAUCCAUUGCAAAAAUUAUAGGACGUGUUAAAAUUGCCUUGUAUGUUCGAAGAUGGGUAUUUAUUCUAUACGCUGGCGAAGUUUUACCGGGAACAAAGCAAUUUGAAGGGGAUAUAUUUCGAGCUGAAUUGUUCGUGUCGGCCGUUCGGGAACUGGAAUCGUUAGCCUUUGUAUUCAAUACUAUCACCUAUGAAGACAGUCGCAGGCAUCGAAUGUAAAGUCGCUCAGAAAUAAAAGACAAUCACAUGCAAUCAAAGUAGGCAAGUAAAUAUGAUUUUAAAAUAUAAAAUUCAUUACAAAUUUUAUUGUUUAGUAUAUUCUAUAAUGAUAUAUUUACUAUACUCUGA
rnacentral:lncRNA from 1 species